AUAGUAUGAAGUUUCCUUAGAAAACUAAAAAUAGAACUACCAUAUGACCCAUCAAUCCCUCUCUAAGUAUUUAUCCAAAGAUAUUAAACUAGGUUAUCAAAGAUAUUUUCAUUCCUGUGUUUAUUGCAGCAUUAUUCACAAUAGCUGUAAGUAAUGUUAACAUAUCAGAAACUACUUGAUGGGUCCCUCAGAAUGACAAAGUUAGCACCUAAGAUGACCUUUAUCUUAGGUAUCAUCUUAGGGACCACUCUUAUCCAUUCUUUACCUGUUCUACUUUUCAUCACAACACCUUUCAAUGCCAGACCUUAUCUUUGCCUUUUUGGGUUUGCUUAUUGUCUGUCUUUUUACAGAGUAGAGAAGAAAUUUUGUUUCUGUCAUUUCUGCUCAACCCAAUGACCUGGUAGAACACCUGAAGCACAGAAGAAAGCCCCUUGGAAGGCUCAUUGGAAUUCUGGAAUUCUGAACUUACCAAAAUCGCUACCUCAUCCAUUGUAAUAAUAUUAACUUACUCAAUUCCAAGGUGAUUAAAGCACAAAAGGGCCAAUUGUUUUGCUGUGUGGCAACCAAUUGAUGGAAAGUUAGGAUAUUCCACAAGGGACCAGAGCUCACCUUAAGUAGCCUAUGCCAAAGGACAUUGGAGCUGUUGCAGUGCAAGUGAUUAAGUCUGUUUGGUGAAGGAUAAUUGGUCACAUGGAUGUUACAAUGAUGUUAACAACAGAAAGUACUUUUUUUCUAGCUGUUAGUUUGUAAGGAUCUUUUGAACUUGGUAAUAUAUUGAGUAAUAAAAAUAUUAGAGUUAGUAUGGUGAUUUAGGGCAAAUAUGAAAACUAAUACAAACAUAUUCAGGGUCUUUGGCCCCACUGCUGAGUAAAGAUUAAACAUGAAAAAUGGCCAUUAUUCAAAAAAAUUUUUCAAUUAAAAUAUUAUUUGUAUAAUUUCUUAAAGGUAAUUUUUAAAAGUACUUUUAAAAAGUCAAUUCACUCAAACUUUUUACCUAUUUAAGCUUUUAAAUACUUUCUGUAUUCUUCCAUGUAUACAUGUAAGUAGAUUAAAUUAAAAAAGCAAUAUGUAGCCUUGAUAACUUAAAACCCAAAUUAUUUCACUUCUAUAUUAAAUCUCACCAAACACACAGUUAUCUUAUUUGCAAGGAGAAAACAAGGUAUCUGUCUAGCAAUAUUUUAAAUUUCAUUUUUGUCUAAAUCAAUGUGUCGUAAGAGACUAAGAAACAAGAAAGACAACUUGAACAGGUCAUAUCAUAAAUUAUUUCAGUAAUUUUCUACACACUUUGUAAAAAGUUCAUCUUGAAUAAAAUGUGCUGUACACAUUUGCAGUGCCUAUGUAAUGAAAUGAAUUAAUGCUUUGGUAGGCCAUCCAUUGUUGUAUUGAACAUUCCUUUGAAUUUCACAUGGACAAGUUAUAACUCCAAAAUAUGGUCAUUCCUUUGCAUCAUAAAGAAUUAAUGAAAGGUCAUCCCAUUUGAAUGUUUUUUGGAGGUGUCUUCAAAGAUGGCAAUUUUAUUUAUUUACAGCAGGAAUCCUGUGCUAUAUUCAAAUAGCAUUUCCUAUGUGCUACAUUUGGGCUAAUUAUGAUCAAAUAAUUUUACCCCUUCAGAACUAAGACACAAAAGCAAAAUCUGUAAAAAAAAAUUAGGAGAAAUAUUUCUAAUAUUUUAAAUUUGUAAUUUCAUUGAAUGUACCUUGGGCUGAUUUCAUUUUUGCAAGUAGAAAAUUUUGAUUUCAGCAUUUAAGCAUCAAAAUCUGAUAAUAUUAAAGUUCAUCCAAAAGAAUUCCAGACAUGGGUAGUUCAUGCUAACUGUCCAUACUUGAACAAAGACAUACCUCUUGGCAAACUUUAUACAAAAAGAAGUCAAUGAGAUACUCAUAGAGUUGGGUGAAUAUAGUGUUUAUAUAUGUCACUGCCUUUCAAAUAAGUUAUAAAACUCAAAUAUAUGUUAAUGUUUUGAUAUAAGAAAAUAAAUAAAACUAAUAUCAAAAGCAGCAUAAUUUUGUUUCAAAUUCCACCAUCUCAGUAUACCAAGAUGAUUAGUUUUAAAAACAAAAUAUUAAAAUGUAUAGAAGAAAAGAAUGAUCCUAUAUAUAUUUACAGAAGUCUGUUGGGUAUAAGCGUCAUGGUUCAGUGUUUCAUAUAUCUUAUUUUGCCCCUGUGCCUGGCUAGUCUUCAAAAAUUUCUAGCAAUAUUUUAUGUAAGAUCACAUGACUGACAGGAGUCCUACAAAGAACAUCUGUUUUGGGUAAAAUGUGGGAAAACCUUAGAAGGAUUUACAUCUGACCCCUAGUGUUUGCAAUAGUAUCCAUUUCUUGCAACAUCUACUCAUGAAGGACUAUGUUGUAAAUAAAAUGAAAAAAUCUCUACCCAGAGGAAUUAUUUUAAAUCAUAAACUGUAAUGUUACAGUUCGUCCUUGUAAGUAUAAUGCAACUAGAGUAGAAAUGUUUUAUAAUUAAGAAUAUUAAAAAAACAUUUAAACUCACUGUACUCUUAAAUUGCUGAAAAACAUACCCCUACUCAGUUGAGCAAUACUUAUUAACUCUGCAACAGCUUAUAUUUGACCCAUUCCUAUUACUAUUGGGCAUCUGGCUGCAACCUAAACUCUCUCCCAUGGAAUGUAAAGGAACCCUCAACCAUAGUGUUUUUCCAGCCAUCAUUUAUACUUAAUCUAAUGUCACUAAAUGACAAAUGAAAGUUCAAAAUUCUAUUUACCAAGCAAACCAUCAUGCGUCUCAAAUAAAGUGUGAUCAGUAAUAUGAGGUACACAGCACAGCUAACUUCUAUCAUUUAAUACUUUUUCACUAUGAGAAGUACUAUUCAGUGUCUUUCUGCACUGAUUCUUUCUCCAAACACACUCAAAACACACUGCCAACUGACAAAAGGAACAUAGCUUCAAAAGAAAAUCUCCUAAGUAGAGAAAAGCUCUCUGUUAAGCAUGCAAGAGGUUAAACAUUGCUGAAAUAGCGAGACAUUUUCUCAGCCCACGCUUCCCAGUUCCAUUCAAUUACCAACAGCGGUAGCGACUAUAACACAAGCUAAAACUGUAUUAUUAAAUCAGACCUUCCCGUUUACAUCAACUCUAACCUGAGAAGGUGGGAGGGGAUGACAUUUACUAGUCAAUAGCAGAACAAACAGCCCCCAACUUGGAAAUGCACAUGACCUUGGGGUGUAGAAUUUUCAGUGACUGAGUUUCACAAGUUUUAUUUGGAUCUACUGCAUAACAAUACAUCCAAAUGAACCCAGCAGGCAUAAAUGUUCCUACCCUUAGCACCUCCACUCCAAAAAUGUUGAGAGCUCUACACUUUGUAGUCUAUGCUUUACAUACCAGAGGUAAAAUUAAUCAGAGAUUAGUUCAAACCUCUCUUUAAAAUUACAUCUGUUUUUUAACAACUUGUUGGUUGAUUUAUUCAAUGUAGUUUAUGAACAUAUUUGGGGGCUUGCAUUGAAAGGUUUCUGUUCUUUUAGCCAUGCUGGAAGUGUUGGUCUACAAAUAUUUAUAUUUAUAAAGCAGGAUGUGACACGAUGACAUUAACUUCACCAAAAAAAAA